AGAGUUUGAUCCUGGCUCAGAACGAACGCUGGCGGCGUGCCUAACACAUGCAAGUCGAGCGCGAAAGGAGCAAUCCGAGUAGAGCGGCGCACGGGUGCGUAACACGUGGGUAAUCUGCCCUUGAGUGUGGAAUAACCUUCCGAAAGGUCGGCUAAUGCCACAUGAGCUUGCGGAGGCUUCGGUCUCUGCAGGGAAAGCAGGCGCAAGCUUGCGCUCGAGGAUGAGCCCGCGGCCCAUCAGUUAGUUGGCGGGGUAAUGGCCCACCAAGACUACGAAGGGUAGCUGGUCUGAGAGGACGAUCAGCAGCCCGGUAACUGAGACACGGUCCAGACUCCUACGGGAGGCAGCAGUGGGGAAUUUUCCACAAUGGGCGAAGGCCUGAUGGAGCAACGCCGCGUGUGUGAUGAAGGUCUUCGGAUCGUAAAGCACUUUCGACCGGGACGAAAAUACCGUGGCUAAUAUCCACGGGACUGACGGUACCGGGAGAAGAAGCACCGGCUAACUCUGUGCCAGCAGCCGCGGUAAUAC
rnacentral:rRNA from 1 species